ACUCAAAGGAAUAGACGGGGACCCGCACAAGCAGUGGAGUAUGUGGUUUAAUUCGAAGCAACGCGAAGAACCUUACCAGCUCUUGACAUCCCGAUGAAAGCAUUAGAGAUAGUGCCCCUCUUCGGAGCAUCGGAGACAGGUGGUGCAUGGUUGUCGUCAGCUCGUGUCGUGAGAUGUUGGGUUAAGUCCCGCAACGAGCGCAACCCUUGAUCUUAGUUGCCAGCACUUCGGGUGGGCACUCUAAGGUGACUGCCGGUGACAAACCGGAGGAAGGUGGGGAUGACGUCAAAUCAUCAUGCCCCUUAUGAGCUGGGCUACACACGUACUACAAUGGCCGGUACAACGGGAAGCGAAGGAGCGAUCUGGAGCGAAUCCUAUCAAAGCCGGUCUCAGUUCGGAUUGCAGGCUGCAACUCGCCUGCAUGAAGUCGGAAUUGCUAGUAAUCGCGGAUCAGCAUGCCGCGGUGAAUACGUUCCCGGGUCUUGCACACACCGCCCGU
rnacentral:rRNA from 1 species